AGCGAACGCUGGCGGCAUGCCUAACACAUGCAAGUCGCACGGGGGGGCUUCGGCCUCCCAGUGGCGGACGGGUGAGGAACGCGUAGGGACCUGUCGAGGGGUGGGGGAUAACCGCGGGAAACUGCGGCUAAUACCGCAUGACGCCGCGGCGUGACAGCCGGGGCCAAAGGCGAAAGCCGCCCGCCGAGGGGCCUGCGUCCGAUUAGCUGGUUGGCGGGGUAGCGGCCCACCAAGGCGUCGAUCGGUAGCUGGUCUGAGAGGGUGAUCAGCCACACCGGGACUGAGACACGGCCCGGACUCCUACGGGAAGCAGCAGUGGGGAAUAUUGGACAAUGGGCGCAAGCCUGAUCCAGCGAUGCCGCGUGGGUGAAGAAGGUCUUCGGAUUGUAAAGCCCUUUCGGCGGGGACGAUGGUGACGGUACCCGCAGAAGAAGCCCCGGCUAACUUCGUG
rnacentral:rRNA from 1 species